rnacentral:rRNA from 1 species
CCCUUAGAUGUUCUGGGCCGCACGCGCGCUACAAUGAUGAAUUCAACGAGUUUAUAACCUUGGUUGAAAAGCCUGGGUAAUCUUUUGAACUUUCGUCGUGAUGGGGCUAGACCCUUGCAAUUAUUGGUCUCCAACGAGGAAUUCCUAGUAAACGCAAGUCAUCAGCUUGCAUUGAUUACGUCCCUGCCCUUUGUACACACCGCCCGUCGCACCUACCGAUUGAAUGGUCCGGUGAAAUCUUCGGAUUGAGACUUUGAUUUCUUCACGGAAAACGCUGUUUUAAAAAGUUGAUUAAACCUUACCAUUGAGAGGAAGGUGAAGUCGUAACA